GGCAGAGGAUGCAAGCGUUAUCCGGAAUGAUUGGGCGUAAAGCGUCUGUAGGUGGCUUUUUAAGUCCGCCGUCAAAUCCCAGGGCUCAACUCUGGACAGGCGGUGGAAACUACCAAGCUGGAGUACGGUAGGGGCAGAGGGAAUUUCCGGUGGAGCGGUGAAAUGCGUAGAGAUCGAGAGGAACACCAGUGGCGAAGGCGAGUCUCUGGACGACUCCUGACACUGAGGCACGAAAGCCAGGGGAGCAAACAGG
rnacentral:rRNA from 1 species